rnacentral:sRNA from 1 species
AAUCUAAGUAGUGUUUCGUUGUUUGAAGAUAUAAACCCAAAGACUCAUACGGACUUCGACAUCACCAUCAAAGUUUUAG